AGAUGCAGUAGGAUGGAAUGAGGCUACAAAAAAAGAGCACCAAGGUCCAGUAUGACCGGGCAAAAUGGAACCUUUUUAGUCUUUGCUUCAUUCCCGUUACACGACAAUGAGCAAUGAGGGGCAGCUGUAAUAGCACAAUUUGCCCGGGGCCCAUUCAGAAUAAAAAAAAUAUAUAAAAAAAUAUAUAAAAAAAUAAAAAUAAAAACAAAAAUUAUUAAAAGUCCAUCAGUCCAUAGUUACAAACCCAAGUUACAGAGGCCCAAUUUCAAAAUACCCAAAAUUUAAACCCAGACCCGAAAUAGACCCUAAACC
rnacentral:lncRNA from 1 species